rnacentral:lncRNA from 1 species
UUCACGCCUAGAGCUGCUUUGGACAGAAACCGACCAGAGAAAAGUUAACCUCCCUUUCAGCUGGAACAGACUGGUAUACUGGACACUGUAUACGGACUCUUGGAAGGAACAUACAUUUCUGGACUCAGAUUUUCUCACUUAUGACUGCUCGAGCUAUUGGCCAGUAAAUGAUAAAGAAAAAGUAAUCUAAUGCACUUAUUAGUGUUUUUAACUUUACUGUGGUUUAUGGCCUUCAUACACUUCCUAAAUGAUAUUUAUUUAUUACAAUUUAGUUUCAAGUCAAAAUUCAAGCAAGGCCUGUGACAAUUAAAUGUUUUUUCUUUUUCUCACGAUACAACCAUAGUGGAGGAUUUGAUUGAAGUUUUUGGGCCAUUGAUCAAAGUACUUUUUGUGUAACGAUUAUGAUUACAGAUACUAUUUGAGAUGUGGCAAAAGAAAAUACAGCUGAACAGAGGUUUUAACAGAAGAACAUGGUCACACAGUCCUUGGCACAGUUCUUGGCCUUAUUAUUUUUGGAACAUAUUUCACCUCUAAGGUCUUAUUAUUAAAAUGUCUUUGCUUCUACAUUCUAUAUAAUGCCAUGUGAGGAUUUAAAUGUUCCUAUGAGCCAGGUUGUUGCCCUUCAGUCAGCUUUGUAUAUGUCCGCACAUGAUUGUGAACAUAAAAGUGAAACAGGCUAGACUGUGCUUUGUUUUAGUUCUUUUAUCUCAAUGUAACAGUUCACGGAAUGCGAGUAAUACAGCAGCGGUCUGGGAGGUCUCAGGAAGUUUAAGCUCCUUAGCCCCAUUGUGUGAGAUUGACAGGCAUUGCACAACAGUAUUUAAAUAAAAUGUGACGGGAAUAAAACAAUAUUUACAGACAUACUUGACUUUUCUCGACUUUUUACAGCUAUGUUCAGUGCCCGGCUGAAUGGAAAGGAAGGAAGGAAGAAAUGACCUUUCAGGAAACCUUUAAUAAUGAGAUUAUUAAUGAGCGUGUCAUUGCACUUGACCUCCUUGACCAAUAUGGCUUGUCUUUUGGCAACGAGAUGUGUCUAGUUUUGAUUACAGUGCUUCCUGACACGCAGUAAUUUCUGUUUCAUGUAUCAUAACUUGUUAAAGCAUACAUUUAAUCAUAGGGCCGAUUAUGAAUUUGUGAGAAGGUUCAUCUUAUCUCAGACCUGACUUGCUGAGAGCGAGUCUUCAACAGUUCUACAUGAUGAAGAAUAACAGACGUUCUGCAUAACGUCGACUUAAGAUUCCCAAACAAGUUAAAAUGAUCUACAUACUCUUCCAAUGUCAUUGAAUAUCACCCUUUCAUGCUUGUAAUGAUGGAUAACCGUGAUUAUGGAAUUACUACUACUGCUUUGUGAUACAUUAAUUUAGUUAUUUUUUUACCUAUGGAAGUUUUUGUUUUAAAAAACGCAGAUCCUGUAAAAUAGGUCGGUGUUGGGGAUAGAUUAAUUACUGUAUUCAAGUCCUAUGUUAUCCUAUCUUAUUCCUACUGCACUAGUAACAAUAAUGGUCUAAAUAAAUAUCACUGCUGUUCCGCUACAAGAACAACAUUAUUAUUGUUCCUACUCCCUACAGUAGACAUACAGUAUGUGUCUGUCCUGAGAGCUCAAACGGGGCAGGUCACCCUUAUAACAAUUGGGGGGGGAAUUGUCAGAUCUGACCAGCAGUGUGGGAACCAGGCAGAAAGGCUCCUGGGAAAGGAACAGGGAUGUUGUGAGGUGAGCCAUUGUUUUUGUAGAUGAUGUUCAAAUGUCG